rnacentral:rRNA from 1 species
UACAGAGGUCUCAAGCGUUGUUCGGAUUCAUUGGGCGUAAAGGGUGCGUAGGCGGCGCGGUAAGUCGGGUGUGAAAAUCUUUGGAGCUUAACUCCGAAACUGCAUUCGAUACUGCCGUGCUUGAGGACUGGAGAGGAGACUGGAAUUUACGGUGUAGCAGUGAAAUGCGUAGAUAUCGUAAGGAAGACCAGUGGCGAAGGCGGGUCUCUGGACAGUUCCUGACGCUGAGGCACGA